rnacentral:rRNA from 1 species
GUCGGUUUUGAUGGCUGUGAGGCACCACCUGUUCCCAUUCCGAACACAGAAGUUAAGCUCACAUACGCCGAAAAUACUUGAGUGGCGACGCUCCGGGAAAAUAGGAAGAAGCCGGCA